rnacentral:tRNA from 1 species
GCCCGCAUAGCAUAAUGGAUAGUGCGCGCCCCUCCGGAGGGUGAUAUGGCAGUUCGAUUCUGCCUGCGGGUA